rnacentral:lncRNA from 1 species
UUAGAGUCGACCAAAGGACUCGUUGGUUUGGACAUAGUUUCUUUGUUCCUGUGUUUCUGUUUUGCUCUCCCCCUUUUUUCACUUAGUUUAGUUGGAAUGGAAAGAGAACUUCCUUCAGUUUUUCUUUUUUUUGUUGCCUGGUUCGGUCUCUCCGAGUGGAAUAAGUGGGUCCUUCUUCUUUUUCCUGACUGAUGAAGGUCGAAACUGAAGAUCGAAUCAAGCGGAGUCUGGAUUCCUAUGUUCGUACCAACUCAAAUGAUUGAUGAAUUGGAUCUUGAGUAUGCUCACUUCGCUACUCAGCAAGGGUGGAAGAAUGACAAAGAGACUGACAUCACAGAGGAUGGGAAGGACCCAAUCGCCUGCCUCUUUCUUGGUCCACCCCCCUGGUGGGUACUUUAUAGCUCACAACACGAGAUAGGCAGAUAUGUGACAUAGAAAAAUUGCUUUCAUUGACAACAAGACUCUCUUCCUGAUUGGGAUUGGUCUGUGCAGGAUCUCCUUCCCUAUGAGACUCUUGCUUCCCUUUGAAAGAGGCAGACCCCUACUUCAAUUGUCAUCUGACGACUCUUCCCCAGCUGUGGACUCAGACCUCUCACAACCAAAAAAAAGAAAAUCAAAAUCAAACGAAUCCUAAUAUAACCAAUCUAUCGCCUUUGAUGACUCGUUGACAGCCUCCUCAACCCAAGCUUCCAUCUCCUGCUCCAGACAUCGGCGCUUGCCCGCGCCAGUCCAUGAAAGGUGGAUGAAGGUGAGUUUGACUAUGAACUCGAGGAUGCUGGGAACGAUCUCUUCUCGGGGAAUCACUCCCGUCGAGAGGCCCUCUUCCUCCCUUUUUCUGAAUAUGGGAGAGAGGCAAAAGAGAAGUCCAGAGAGACCUCGACUCUUUUAGGGAAAGGAGGGAGAUCGAAUGCGAGAUGGAGUCCCUGCCGAAUGGAAUGGACAUCCUUGGGGACAGCUGUGUAAGACUUAAUUUACCAUAAAAUUGGACGGAAAAACUACUAAAAAGAUCACAAGAAACCCAGCUCAAAGUGAAUGGAGAGAGAACCCCUGCGCCUUGGAAGGAUCUGAAGCUGUUCGGACACUCAUAGACAAGUGAACUCCAAUCCAGGAUCCCUCGAAAAGUGAAGUGAACUAGCCAGGUAGAACAGUCAGGUUAGGAAAAGAGUCUUUCAUGUCAAGGUGAACAUAGACAGACAAGGUUAGUUUGUUUUCCUUAAUUCUCAGAGAAAAGACUCGUUGCUGGAACCGAGAGCACUGGCGAUUGCUUUCUUUCUGACCUUUAGCCGAGAAAUUCCAUACCUUCCACCGACUUCUUUUGUGUGUGGCCAGAACGUGAUGCUUUCCAAUGCCGAGUACUUUUCUUAACAAUGUAUGAAGCCUGUAAAACCGAAAUCGAUCCAAAUCCACAACCUUGACGAUCGAGGAAAAAGGGUAUGUAUUAUUAUGGUGUGAGCCUUCUUUCUUUUUGGCCUUAGAUUAUCAUAAGCGAGGAAUGGUGCGUGCUAGCCUUCAGACUAUACUUUAUUGUAGGGAAAGGGAAAAAAUGGAGAAUAUCUUUAAGAACCCUAGAAAGAAUUUCACUUGGAGCAACAGGGGUCAGGUCACACUAUAUCAAUAUCAUAAUUCUCUUUUUUUUAAUUGAUACUGAUUAGCCGUAAAUCAAUUUGAUUUUGUUAUGCCAUUAAGGAAACACUAUUUGGGAUACAAUACCCAUUUUAGAACCGUUCACUACUAACAAAUAGAAAAUAUCAAAAUAACAAAUAAUAACAAAUAAUAUAGUUAAUGGUUCCAAUUUUUCCUAAAUUUGGCAGUCUGUGACUGGAAAUCCUUUCUCUUUUCAAUAGAAAGAGAAGGUAUUUAAGCAAUGUGUGUUUUGAGAUACAAUCAAUCGAAGAGAAUAAAACUGGGUCCAAUAAAAAACAGGAAUGAAUUUAUUAAAAGGGAUUGGAAAGGGAUAAGUACAAAGGGAUUCAACGAUCUAAAAAAUCAAAAAGGGUUUAAUAAUCCCCUCCUACGAAUAAAAAUUAGUAAAAUAAUGUGGAUGAAUAAGAUUUUGCUCGAUUUUGGAUCGGAUUUGGCGGCAUGGCCAAGCGGUAAGGCAGGGGACUGCAAAUCCUUUAUCCCCAGUUCAAAUCUGGGUGUCGCCUGACCAAGAAAAUACUUAGGAUUUCUUAUUGUACUGAUUGAACUCGACAAAUUCUUGCCCUGCAUAAGCAAAGGAAAAGAACUAGGCCUGUCGAUACUGGAUUUUACCAUAGUUCUAGUUCUAAAAAAGACUGUCAAUUUCUUCUUAAAAAUAGGGCUCUCGCAGGGUUCUGGGUAGUGGCCCAAACCGAUACCAAUAGGGAUGAGGGAUAUAUACUUAUGAAUUUCAGAAUUGGUUCUAUUCCGCAAUUCAUAACUACGAAAGUAAGAGGUCGGAAAUCUUGGUAUCCAAAGGUCCCUAAAGGACAUUCCUUUUUUGCUCCUAGGAUUGAAGAAGAGAUUAUACGAAAGACUAUCAAGACUUCCUAAUUAUCUGACACUACCUACACUAAAGUAAGGUCUACUGACUCUGUCUGGAAUUAGAUUGGAUAGGCUGAUGGGAAAUUUAGGAGUUGUGGAAAGAAGAGACUUUCUUUCCAUACUUACGAGAGACUCCGAGUACUCAAACAUUCAAUCAGGAUGGUCGGUUAGCUCUUAUCUUUUAGAAUAACUUAGUAAAAAAGUAAAAGUAAUAAAUAAAAUGAAUCUCCUAACUCGGUAGCCCAUGAGGUUCCAAUGGUUAGUUUUGGAUUUUUUCAGGCAAGAAAGCAAAGAAGAAGGGAGGAUUCUCUAUUACCAACUUCCCCCAUUGUCCUGUCCUCAUUGGUCAUUCAUCUUUCCCGAUCUAGUGCCAUCGUUCUUCAAGGUGCCGGAGGGUUUGAAGCAUACCUACUACCCCUCCCCUGAGCUUAGUUCAGAGUUGCCUCAGCGCGCUCGAGUAAUAACUGGGAAAAUCAAGGCUGGACAGGUCUUCGAGCCAACUUCAGGAAGAAAUGCAAGUGAAAGAGAAUGCUCUCGAGGGUGCAGGAGUCUUUUUCUGUCUUUCUUAUUUGAAAUCCAAAUCGAAAUGCCUCAACUUGAUAAAUUGACUUAUUUCUCACAAUUCUUCUGGUUAUGUCUUCUCCUCUUUGUUGGAAGAUGAGUACACAUCGGGUAAUCCGCCCAUGAGAGCCCAAUCACAAGAGGCUCAUACGGAAAGCAAUCAGCCCAUAGCCCAAUAUCGAGACCACAGCCUAUUAUUCAAACCACAAAGGAUCCGUCUUUCAUCGUCCAAUCUUCUCGAUCGAACAUAUUGACAUCAAUACUCCUUUCCAUGGCCAUUCACGGCCCACGAAGAUCAACCACUCGUGCCCGAGAUCACUAUCCAAUCAAAAACCAGACUUCCAAGAUCCAUCUCACUCAGACCCUUUUGAAUGUAGCGGAUAACAACGGAGUGGGGCUAUCGAAUUGAUAUGUAUUCGAAUCUUAGGAGCUGGUAAUCACUGAUAUGCUCAUAUUGGUGACGUUAUUGUUGCUGUAAUCAAAGAAGCAGUGCCCAAAAUGCCUCUAGAAAGAUCAGACAGAAGUAAGACGAGCUGUAAUUGUACGUACAUGUAAAGAACUCAAACGUGACAACGGUAUGAUAAUACGAUAUGAUGACGGUUGUCAUUGAUCAAGAAGGAAAUCCAAAAGGAACUCGAGUUUUUGGUGCGAUCGCUCGGGAAUUGAGACUUAUGAAUUUCACUAAAAGAGUCUCAUGAGCUCCUGAGGUAUUAAAAAUACUAGUAGUAGAGACUAUGAUAUAGUAGGGUAUCAGAAUAUAGAUCAAUUAGUAGAUUGUGUCUGACGCAUAUACAUGAAAAAAAAGAAUAAUUAGAUAAUAAUAAGAAUAAGAAUUCGAAUCUUAAUAAAAGGAAGGGUUCGAAUAGCAUCUACUAAUAUUACCGAAAACUUUGUGAAAAUACUUCUAUGAGAAGGUUUUAUUGAAAACGUUCGAAAACCAUAGGGAAAGUAACAAAUCUUUCUUGGCACGUGCCCCUGCUCCUGCUCUUCGAACUAGUCAUUAAUGGUCGGCAACAUAGGUACCCUUUUUCGGUAUGCGUUGCGAACACUUUCAUUUUUAGUGUCUCAUCUUCUCUGGAGAAGCUCAAAUCGAACGGAUAGAGCAGAUGGUCCAACUACAGAACUUUUUCAUUACUUCCAUGGUCGUGCCCCGUGGCACGGCAGCACCCGUACUAUUGAAAUGGUUCGUCAGUAGAGAUGUUCCCACUGGUGCCUCUUCUUCUAAUGGUACUAUAAUUCCUAUUCCUAUCCCUUUAUUCCCUUUUUUGGUCUAUCUACAUUUAAGGAAAUUCAUACGCUCCAUGGACAGAGCAAAAAGUGGAGUGUUGGUCAAAGCAAGCCGCCCUAUUCUAUUACCAGACAAAAUGGAGAGAAGCUCAUCCGCUAGAAAUGCUUUAUUUUGUUUCGUUCCCGUUCUUCAUUUCCUUAUUAUCGAAUCCAUGGGGGACUUGUCAUAUUUAGAAUCUUUCUGCGGUCUGCUCUGUUUACAAUUCUUUCGUACUCUCUUCUCUUUACCACGCGAUAGGUCAGCGAAGCGUGAGCGGGCGCUCCGAAGUAAAGGCCAAACACUUCGGCCUAAGGGGAAUGAGCAACAAAAUGACAAGAUGAGGUGCCCUGGGCACCCCCAUAUAGAAAGAAGGGUCGAAGGUUUUGGGCCUGUAGCUUUCCCCGCCCCCCCUCGUCGAGUGGUGCUUGUUUGGGGGGUGUGCCACCAGAAAGCGGGCUUGAAGCUCUCGCCUUACCAACGAGCCGACUGCUGAUGGCUGUUGGUCACGACUACUACAAAAAAGUGAAGAUGAAUCUUUCUAUUUCACAUGGAGGAGUGUGCAUCUUUAUGUUGGGUGUUCUUCUGUCGUGCGACCCGAUGGCUUAUGUGCGACCUGUGGCCCACGCCUCCUAUUCUAUUUGUUCAGGGCGGGCAGCGUGAACUCUGAUUCGAUCCGGGUAUUCAAUCCCGCCGCUGAGAUGCUCAGUUGACUCCUUAACCUUGAUAGGAAGAUGGCUUAUUCCAAAAUUCGUGCAUAAGGGUAAGGAACUUUGGAUGAAUUAAUGCGAAUGGGUGUAAGCCUCGCUGCUCGGAAACACCCAGUGCUGACCACACUGAGAGACACGAAAGCGCAGGUAAUGCCAGUUGGCAAAGUGGCAUUAAGCAUCCCUAGCGGUACGCAAAGAGAGGUCGUGAUGAUAUCAUCUACGUCCGUACCGCUCCUCGUGGAGUAGAUCCCGCAUCCAACCAACCCUUUUUUGACCAGGGAACGGGAGAAUUCCCACUACCGCUGGCAGGCCAGCCGGGCCGUGAGCGCGGUGGGAACGGGCUUCCCAAAAAGCGAGCCCCGGCCCGGGUCAGCAUAGAAUGGGGGGGACGGCCCUAAUGUUGUGUUGGCCGGGUUGCGGGCGGAUAAAAGAGGACGUGGGGACUCAGGUCGGGGCAUAGCGUAACUAAGAGAGCUAUUCCAUUUAGGGCGAGACAGAAUGGGCGGGCACAAGUGGUCUGGUGUCCGAGCCGAUUGGUCAGACGACGACUACUGCACAUAUUAUAUUAGCCGCCUAUCCCGGAAUGGACUGGGAUGGAAUAGAAAGAACGCGAAGCAGCAAGCAAGGGAUGAGCGCUUUGUUGCGCCUGCGCAUACGUUUUCUUGCUGGGUCGGUUUGUUUUUGGGGGGUGGGGCAAUAAGCUUGCUUCUUCACAAGCUUAUCCCCGCCCCCUUUCCUGUCCGUCCCGACCGGCAGCAGUUGUGUCUCCCCAUCUCUCCUCAACUUCCCCGGUCUUCGGCCCGAGCUGUAUGAGGCAGAAACUCGUCCCACGUACGGUUCGGAGGCCGAGCCCCACCCCUGCAAUAAUGGUACGGCUUAGGUCAACUAAUACGAAUAAGAUACAGUUCACUCAACGAUUGCCCUUGGGUCCCGAACUCCAUAUGGGGAAAGAACGUUGUUGUUUGCGAGGUCUCGAUCAUUUACAUGGACCCACUUCUCAUUCCAUUUGUGGGAAUUUGAUGAUUUAUAAACCGUCCCCAACGAGCGAAAGGUUCAUGUUUGAACAUGAUGAAUCACUUCGUGCUGACCUGUUGCCCAUAAACUUUCCUGCCUCAUAUGAGAAUGGAAAACUGGAAGAUUUUCUGCAUCGGUGGAUGAAGAAUCACGAACAUAAGAAUUUCUGGUUUAGCAUGUUCCCAGAAAGAAGAUACUUUUUUUCCAUUCGAGAAACGAGGAGCAUGACUGAAGUGGCUAUACAUACAAAUCCAUUUACGGAUCUAUAUGCUACGAUUGGAACUGGAAGUUCCAGAACUGGCGGCUGGUAUACCACCAUAAUGAAAUUGCCUUUUAUUUUUAGUAUUCGGAUAGGAUUUCUGUUGGCUUCAUCGGGAGGCUCGCGUAGUUUGUUACGUCAACUCCAAAAGGAUAAGUUGCAUUGGAAUCGAGAAAGUUUCGUUCAUAAUUGCAUAAAAGGAGUCAAAAUAGUGGCUGCGGCGCGUCGAGGGUCAACCUUUGAUAUCGAAUAACCUUUCGAGCCUUCCCCAAUGGAUCUCUAUCCUCCUUUGAAACCAAAAGAAGUUCACUAACCAUCCCUGUCAAACAUAACCCAAGGUAGGAUCGAGAGGAGAAGAAUAGGACUCUUGCUAGUAUCAUAACCUCUCGAUGGGAGAAUGAAACCAUUAGAUUAGUGGAAAGAAGAAAGAAUGGGAAGAUUUGAGACGAACCACAUUUCCAAGAGAUUGAUGUCUACUCCGUGUCCUGUAACCUUGAAUCUAGUGGAAAAAGAAAAGGCUAGUUCCACUUCAACGCUGUUAUCUGCAUCGGGCGAUACUCCUUCAACGAGAGUGAGUCGCUUAACACGGAACCACUUUCAGAAGCUUUAUUGAGUUUUGAUAGUUGCGAAGAUCCGAGUCCAGCUACUUACGAAGAAGGGCAGACUACCCUAUUCCCAUCCCUAUAGACAGACUAGCUAAGCGUGGUAGUUGAGUGAACGGGCUAUCAAAAAAGGUCUCGUUUUAUCCUCUAUCGAGGCAGGAUAGUAUUAUUAUACCUAAAAGAAGGGUUCUAAAACAGUUUAGAGAACUAAUCUGGGUCUAUUAGCCACUGGUAUCUAAGUGGUACUCCCAUGCCAGCGAUAAUAAUAUCAUCAUAUACCUCGCCAGGAGGUACUUAAAGGUACGAUCUAGGUGAAAGAAAACUAAAAAUCAUGAAGUUCCCCGGUGAAUCUUUCUCUCGGCAAAGCAGAACAAGAAGCAGCAGAAAGCAAAACAGUAUAAGGGUCGUUCGGAGUUCCAGGCACAAAACAAUUCUAUAGAACUGGGUAUACCAAACAGUUGAUCAACAAGGAAAAUGUCCACUAAACCAGCUAAACGGCUCACGAAUUGUUUGGAAUGCAACGGCAAAUGUGAUCUCCCAGCAAUAUCUCGAGUCCAAAACCUCACCCAUCUACAUAUAUCAUCAUCUGCGGCAAGAACAUAGCAACACCAAAAUCCUACCAGCAACUGCUGCAAUGCACCCUCCUCACGACAGCCAACCAUCGACGGUGUCAGACUAUGAUUCAGUUGUUGUACUACUCCUCUUUGUUCUGUUUCAUGUUUUUGGCGGUUUCGUUCUUGUGUCUUAGUCCGAAGAAGACAGUGGAUGUUGAUCCAGUAGCAAAAUUGUGCUUCCUGUUGCAGGAUUUAUGUAUCGUGCCGUGCGUAGAUACGGACGACAUGGAAAAAAUCCAGGUUUAUGUACGACAUGCUCUUUCCUUCCUUCAUUCGGUGACGCACAGAGGUGGCAGAGUCUUAUUCCUGGAGUCGCUCACAACUUUUGGGAGCACCGAGAUCCUGAAUAAGAUGCUGCACGAAUUGGCUGAGGUGUUGGGAGCCCCCAAUAGAGAAGGACGAUGCGGAAAGGUAUGGUGGGAAUACAAACAGGCCUGGACAGAAGAAGUAGACGAAAGACCUCCAGGCUGUGUCGUCAUUCUCAAUCCUGAAAAGAGAGCGCACAUCCUGAGGAAGGCGCGUCAUGCAAAGGUUCCCAUUUUUUUUCCUUAGUUGACCCCGUGUUUCUAUCGGAUCCUAAGCUUCAUCGGGACAAGCGCAUAAACCAUCCCAUCCCGGUAGAGGGGACAGAGCAGCUCAGCGGGCUAAUCAGUGACCUCAUCUACCCAAAGACUUUAUUUCUGCUGUACUUUCUUAAGCAAUAGGAAUUAGAAUUUCGUAGGUAGAGGGGGCCAAGGUGCCAGAAACAUGGAUUUCAUGGAAACAAGGUAAUCCGUAGUUGGUAGCAGAUGUUCCGCGGGAUCAGAUAUCCUCCGUCUUGUCUCUGCAUUCGAGGAAUGCUUGUAGCUGUGCUAGGCGUGAGAAGAACUCUACAAUAUGAUUUCUACGAUUGGUACCAGAUUGGAAUUCAUUCUCGGAACUCUCCUCUAGAGAAUGGCCUGGCUAAAGAGAGUGAUAGAUCCAUCGUGUCGUGUGGAAAAUAAAGCUAGGCGCCACUAUUCGUCCUCAGCCGUAUUCUCAUUCUGGGAAAAGAUAUGGCUCGUUCUGGGAAACGAUCAGUAGUAGUGGUGGAUGGCAGGUAUGGAAGGAUCCCGGCAAGUUCCUAUCUGAGAUUACCACCGGCCCUGCCCUGAGCUGACUUCUUUGCUAGUAGUGAAGUGCGUUUUCACUUAGUUGGAAAAGUCCAUAAUCCGAUUUGACCUCGGGAGCCUGUCCACGGAUCUGAUCAAAGUAUGAUUCCCUAGUGCCAAAAGUCCUAAAGCCUAUGGCGCCAAGCAUGGGGAGUCCGCGGAGAAGAAAAACUCUAUUUCGCUAUGGGCCAAAACUAGUGUUUUUUCGGAUUUCUAGUCUAGUUUAAGUGCAGGGCAAGAGAGUUCUCUUCCAGUAUUCUUAGCUGACUGUCCGCUUGCUUGACUCGAACAAAUAGCUUUUGUUUCCACAAGGCAGAUCCCAUUCCUCGAAUGAAAAGGACAAGAAAGACGAAUUCUGGCUGGAAGGAAGGGUUCUCGUAUUGGUUCUUCUGGUGCGCUACUUCCUUGUGCUGUGCCAGAUUGGAAUUGGUAUCGGAAUCCUGGUUGGUAGAAGGAAGCUCGGGUAUUGCUUAUUGUUGAAAGCACUCGUUUGUUCCGGCUCGUGAGUUGAAAGCACUCGUUUGUUCCGGCUCGUGAUGUGUCUGACGCAUGCAUAGAAUCAAGAUCUAUUGAGACCGGGAUGUUUGUUUCUUCCUCGAAACAAGAGAUACGCUCUGGCUUAUUUGCAUUCGACCGGAGAACCUCACUUAUCAACUGCCCUGAAUUGGAUCUACUUACGAUUUGAGAAACUGGCUCCAGAACCCCUGUUUUUGAUGCAGAAUCGGUGGUUCCUUCUCUUUUUCGUGAUUUCAUCCAUAAAUCAAUGGAAAGAGCACUUUAUUCAGUGAAUUGACACGUUCCUGAUGCUUUUACAGUAGCAGCAGUCUCGGUAGCAGAAGUAGAUCCGAGUGUAGAUACCGGGAUCAUAUCACCACUAUUGACUAUUUCAAUUCAUUCACAUCUGCUUGUAUCAAUCAAAGCUUCCUAUCAAGCAAUCCCAGCAGCAAUCAAGUUGGCACCCACUAUAUAAGAUGCACUAUUUCCUGAUCUUGUCCCAAACCCAACUCGGCACUUUUAGACCUGGCCUGGAUCCCUCCCUUCUCCGACAAUAUAUGCAACCUUAAAGAAAAGAGACCACUCUCAGAACGACCCUUCGGAAAGCCCCACAACAAGCUAUCCCAGAAGAAAUUGUAUAACUUGGCCAAAGUAUUCACUUCCAGUUCCCUUUGCAAUAAGAUCACAGUAGAUACUGUUUAGAAGGCUCACUCUCUCGUCUACAAAAAAUAGAUGUGUGCUUACUUCUUGGAGAUUGACUCCUGCCGGUAAGUGCACACCCUCAGUAGUAUCUCUAUAGACUUUAUAGAGUAUUUCCAAUUGAUAAAUGAUUUGUUCUUUAAGAACAUCUUUGGAUAUAUCAGUUACUUGUGUUUCAACAUUAAUAGCAUUUAUGUGAUGGAUCAUCCGGCCAGCCCUAACGGCGACAAGAAUAGCUAUCGACAAUGACAAACCCAAUGAUACAAUAUACUCAAAUAUAAUCGUUUCCAUAAAAAUCUGCCAUCAUUUUUUGAGUCAUACUUGUCCCUUAGCAGACUCACUCUUGUCUUGCUUCAUCUAAGGAGUGAUAAGUGCCAGGAGUCUGCCUCUAGCAUCAAUACAUGUCCUAGUUACGAACAAAGAAGCGGUGUUGUCUCCUUAGCGUUAGCGGCCUUAUGCCUAUUUCAGUAUACGCCCGUGUCAAUAUGUCUAGACUUACCUAUACCCAUGCUUCCUUCUUCUUUGACUAGCUUGCUUCCCCUAUCAAAUAGAACGGGAAUGACUGCGUGCUGGGCCAUCGUUAGUAAGCCCGCGUAGGGUAGGACCAUCAUCGAGCAAAUGUUCCUUCAAAGGCGCGGAGCGUGCUAUGGCAGAUUUUCAUCCCGCAAGAGGAUGCGCCUAACUAAAACGCCGAAAGGCAGUGCAACCCAAUCCGUUGCUUUGCUUGUUGGGUCCACUUUUUGAAAGUUUCUUUGUUCGUAACAUUAGUAGUUACUCACUGCAUUAGUAGUUACUCAUUGGGUGGGUGCACCAACGGCUUUCUAGGAAUUUGAGUUGCUCCAUACGGACGGAAAGAUUCUUUCGUGAAAUAAAAGAACGGCAGCGGCAGGUUGAUGAGGGAAAGGAAACCAGAUCUUUUUUCUAUGGUAUGGCCUGGGUGGCCUAAGCGAAAUCCCGAGAUAUGAAGGAGCCGAUCAAUCUACCCGCCUGAGGUAAGCUUGCUCCUCACUUGAGUUGAAGCUGCCUCCGCUCCCUGCCGUCAUACGGAUUGAUUUACUUUAUCUUGACAUACGCUACGCAUAUAUUUGCUAGAGAUAUCAAUCGAAAUAGGAGCUUUUUGAAAAUACAAAUCGAUAUAUCCAUGGUAUUGAAUGGACAAGAAUUGAAUGGGAUUGUGGCACCCAGUGAUACACUACGCCAUGUUACGAACAAAGAAAUGAUCAAGAAUUUCAUUAUGGCAUGGCGCUAUAGGCCAUCGAUUCGGUUUAUUAAUUCAUGUGUGUACUCCUGUUCGAUCCUUUUCUGAUGAAAUGAAUGAAUUACCACGCUUUCCGCCGGCUGAUAAAGAACUUUUUGAUGAUCGAUUGCUUCACCCAUGAUCUGAUGAUCUUGCUAUAACAUAACAUACUGCAUUUCCCCUCUUCCUUGUCUCUACUUACUUGUUCAUUGCUCGACUCGAGGGAGGGGCUCUAUAUAGCUGUUUUGCCUUCUUUCUUGGACUCUCAGGUGAGCGCUUAGGCCAAGCCACAAUUACCAAGGCAUGAUUGAAUCCGCCAAAGAGAAGGGAAUAGAUGAUCUCACUGGAAAAAGUUGCGUAACCCCCCCGUUUUUUUGGCAUGAUUUCAAGAUUUUGACCUGAUUUAUGAGAAAAGAACUUAGUUUUGCAUUAACCCAAAAGAAUCUCCUUAUAAUUGAGUGUGCAGUAAAGGGGGUUGUUACACCAAAUCCCUCUGGUGAAGCUCUAUCUAACUGCUUGUUAAUAGCGGAUUGGGUAUUGGUCGAUCGAAAGCUGUGAUACGCAAAAUCCUCAGCAAAAUGAAAUGCGGACUACAAUUAAGUUAGUUGAAAAAGAGAGUAAGGAAUGGGACCGUCAACAGGAACUCUUGAAUUGAGGGUUUUUCACACUACCUAUAGAGAGAUUGAACCAACACGGUGCCCACGGUAACUCCUCCACCCGUACUGUUUGCUUUCGUGGGGCUUUGCUGCGCUUUGGAUCUUAUCAGGUGGCAACCACCUUCGGUUCUAGACUCUGGCACUUCCCCUGGCUGUGGCACUUUCACUGUCGCCUACUCCUACUAUUGGGUCGAUUGUGGUUGGUGUUUUGAUUCAAAAGUGGAGAAUAGAUUGUUCAUUGCGAAGGACAUCAGAAAUCUACAUACAAGGGUCAAGAUGUAAGCUCAAGUUAAGUGGACGGGUCCAAAGAUCAGGGAAAAGGGUAGAUCGGGACAUGGUUGCAAGGGCUAUAUAUCUAUAUAGUUACAAAUGAAUGAAAACGCCAUGCUUAAAGCCAAAAGAAUAAGCUCUUGAUACGGAUCUCUUUCAUCUUGUAAAUAAAGUAGGGGCGUCCCUAACUACAGCUUCCUACCAUAAGUCAGACAUUCAGCUAAUACUGAAGAAAUCUUCUUCUGGGGACACCUCUCUAAAAUAAGAAUGAUGGCGUUUUUGAUCUUAUUCAUUUUCUGAUCGAUAAAUGCGAGAAUGUAGUUAUUUUUAUGAAACCGGAUAUUCAACAUGCUUUCCUCGACCAGAUCUAUUUACGGGAGUCGUAUUUCGAACUGACCCCAGGUCUGAUCUGGAAAUGGUAAAUCCUAUUUGAUCUUCAAGGUUAAGUACUUCUGCGAGACUAUCAGCAUCUUAUCUGGUUGAUAGCACUCAACCCACUGAAUAUACGUUUUAUAUGGGAGCCCUAACUCCACCAUGCAAUUCAACAAGCUGAGGACGGAGAAGUCAACCGGUCUCACGUUUUCUUCUUUUCUUUUUAAAGAACCUGCCCCGAAGGAAAGCAUAUUAUAGGGGAAGAGCUAGCUUCAUUCGAGCUGGAUGGGCUAAAAGCUUUCGUUGAGACAAAGCAGGCAAAAAAAAAGUUCGAGAACAGGAUAACUAACGUUUGGAACCAAGAGAUCUCAUAGUUCUUCAAGUGAGAAGCUGAGAAGGGAUGACACCCAUUUGACCUAGAAGACCGAUGAUCAAGUGUCAAAUUCUAAGCCAAGAGAUGGCAAUGGGACUAUAGGAGCACGGUACUAAACCAUCAUACCAUACCAGUGACUUCACCAACCGAAACCAACUCAAAUAAGUUCAGGGAGGAAAAGAAUACAGUCAUGAUAGAUUGGUGAAUGAGGAAGGAAAAGAAAGCCUAAACUAUCCAAGUAAGAUAGCGAAAGAGAAAGCUGUCUUUAAAGCCUGUUUUGACCAAGCAAGCAAGCUGGAGCACCUUUCACGCUAGCUUCCCAUCGCUCGAAGUACACUUCCGGUGCACUUCUCACUGCUCAACCACUUUAUCUUUAACCUAACCGCCUUCUAAAACUUCCACGGGAAAGCCAGUAGAGUAUGCCUUGGUUUAAGAGAGGAGCUCAGGUCCAUCUUGUGCUCACAAUACAUCUUAUUUAGCAGGACCUCUGGGCUCUUUAGAGAAAGGCGAAGUCUCUACUUGUUAACCAUGGAUGCCUAUUAUAUUUACUUAUAGAGUGAAGAACAAGCCCACUUUCCAUAUCCCUUUCGUCCGGAUGAUCGAUUGCCUCAUUCUUCUUCGAAAAUAAGUGCAUUUGGCCAUUGUGUUUUUCCAACUUUUGUAAUAGAUAUGGGCAUGCAUGGUUUUCAAUAGAUAACCCUAGGCCUUCUUCGUUUCCCCACGGGCAUUCACUUCUCUUCAAGCUCGGGAUUAGCGAAACAUGGAUCCGACGCCCAUCUCUUUUUCCACUUUGCAAGGCUGAGAGACUUUACCAAUUGAUAAAAAAAAGCAUGAGCAGGAUCAGCAGAGGCAAAAUCGAAUAAAAUGGCUUAUUUGCACCUUUCUUUGGUAGGCAACGAAUCUCACGGAAUGUGGGAAUCUUUUAUAGAUGUGAAUUCUCGCUUUAACGCUUCGAUAACAUACUUAUCAUCAGGUAUCUUCGGGAGCGGGGCUCGCCCUCAACAGAUAUUGUCUUUGCUUCCGCUGAUGUCGCGUCAAUUGCCCGAGGGAGCAUAACACUGCAGGUCGCAAUGAACAUGCCCGCCGCAUCUCGGAUAAUUGCUCCAGUUGCGCCAAUUCCAGUAUCCGAGACAGAAAGCAGCAUCCACGUGAACUUUGACUGUUCAUAAUAUGGGAAAUUCCGAGGUGAAGGAUGCCUGCUCAGGUCAUGAUAUCACUGAUCCAAACUAUGCUACACCAAAUCUGAAUCCUGACUAGUUAGCGAAUCGUGUGCUCUGUGCGAAUGUCUUUAUUAGUCUAUUUCAUUUAAGCCCAAAGGAUCUUCGAAUACCGACUGGUCGUCCCAGUCCAAUCUCCCUUCUGCUUAUUCCAAUUUUUCCUAUUCCUAGCGAAUCAAAUGAGAUUUCUGUUCUUCCAUGAAGAGGAGAUAGUUAUCGAUAAAGCAAAAACGAACCUAUUGACAUAGAAUGCAAUCGAAAUAGAGACAACUAGGCGAAAAAAAGACCGAAAUAAGAAACUUCUACUCCCUAGGUGGUUAUUUGCCGCAUAAGACAGCGGUGGAAGCUGAAGGAAAGAGUGGGCUUUGAAUCUAGGUAUGCUUUCUAAGGAUUGCGCUGCGCCUAGCCUACCUUUACGAACAUACCUCUGUCUUUCAAACAAAGCCCUGUGUGUGGAACUACUUAGAUUUGUUUUCAAAUUGCUUUUCUCGGGCCAUCGAGAAGUCAGUCAGCGGUUGGCUUGAGUCCUCAAGUUGGUCUUUAAGACUUAGCAGGGCCCUACACACAGUACACCUUAGUAGAAGGUAGAUUUCUCUCACCCUAUGUGCAAUCAAGCUCAGAGACUUGAGCCGUAGAAUUCCUUGCCCACUGACUGAAGAAGGUCCCUACAGUGUCCAAAUCGAGGGAUCAAUCCAACAAUCUUCUCCUUUACUCAAAGGAGUAGGUGGAAGAGUUAUGAGAGAAAUCAAGCGAUAGUGCUUGACCAGUGAGAAGUGCACCGGAAGUGUACUUCGAGCGAUGGGAAGCUAGCCUGAAAAGGUAGAGCAGAGGUGCUAACAAUAAUAAGAAUCUUUCAUCCUGCAAGUUACUCAUAAUUGAGAACUGGUAAUGUGGAUUUUGUUCCAUGCAGCUACACCUUUUCGAAAGCAAAUUCGAGGAAAUCGCUUCUUUCUUCCCAUCCCGACCUGUAUCACUUGACUUUUAGAUUGGCAAACUAAUACCAGGUUGAUGACUUCACUUCUCUUGGGAACUUGCUUCUUCCUUCACCGAAGUUAGUAGUUAGCUUUUAUGGGCAAGGUGCCAUACUGGGAAUCCAGUCAAAUGGGCCAAAGCAAUCCAAGGCAGAAGGCCCGUUUUAAAUAACUAAUCUCGUGACUUUUGCUACCGGGGGUAGGAAGGAAGCAGUGAGAUCCAGGGAGAACAAGCAAGACCAAGAACAAGAAUGAAUGCUAGAGCAUAUGCAAACCCUAGAUUAUUGUGAUGGCAGCCCGGUCAACCGCACGCUGGAAGCGGAUGGCAUUCCCAAUACAAGCCUGCAGAUCCCUGGACUCUAUUUAAACAUUGGGAAGUCCUUGACAAGAAUGCUACAUUAAGCACUUGCCACACUGACAUAUUGAUGAGCAAGCCCAGAGCCCGAAUCCGGAUGCAUGCUUAAGUGCUCGGAGGGCAGAGCCUGGGCCCCGAUCGAGCCAAUAUGUCGAUCGAUAACAUUUAAGCUCCUUGUCCCCAAGAUCUUCCAUAUAUUAAGACUAGUUCGAUCUGCCUUAGAUAAACAUAUUCCAAUAAAAAGGUUAAAUAACAUAUAUAGGUAUCUGCGGGCAUUGUGAAUCAACUAAUCUAUCUAGAAGUGAGUCAAUAUGUGUUCAUGAGUGAUUAUGUUGUAGGUGCUUCCCCUCUGUCGAGGCUGGUAUGUAUAAAUGGAGUAUUGACCUUAACUUUGAGUGUGGGUUCCGGUUUUGAGUGAAUGGACUGAUUGCAUUUUUGUUAAGAGUGGGCUGGCCUGCUUGAAACACCAAUGUGCUAUAGAUACAAGUACCCUUCCCUUGGGGAUCGAUUAACGGAUUACUCAGUAUCGGAUGGGUGAAAGCCUUAUCCAUCACCUUUAAGCUCCUUGUCUUUAAAUAAAAGCCAUCAAUAACCUAGAUCGGUCUCAAUAGCACUGCAGGGCAUUUAUCUCCCCUACUAUAUGGGUCUACCCACCUGGGCAUUGUCCACUUGACCAACCAUCAUGGCUAUAUAAUCUAUUUUAACAAAGAAGUAAAUAACUCGAGUCUCCCUCUAGGGGGUUGUUACGCGACCUAUUCCAGACAAGGAGUCCGAGCCGGGAAGAAAACCGGGGAUACCUUACUAAGCAUUUCCUAGAUCUUGAGUUAGGCGUAGCUACUUCCUCCCCCCAUGUUCUCCCGAUUCCCCAUCCUUCCGCUGAAGCUAAACCAGUAUCAGUUGAUGGCGAGCAUAGUAGAGGCGGCUUUCGAGUAAAAAAUAACUUAUAGAAGCACUUGAGCGUGGUUUCGGCCUAUAGCCGGAGGGAAUGUUUUUCAAAAUCGACCCUGGGCAUUCGUAGAGGGGAAAGACAGCCAUGCGAUAAGCGAGGGAGAGGUCUGUCUUCCCAAAGUAGCCAUUCAAGGAGACAAGUUCUACCAUUGUACCUUGACCUGUGGAACUGGAGAAGCUCCUUUAUUGCUAUAGUUCUUGUUGAACCUUUUCUAAAGUCAACAAUUUCUGCAAUCAGGGAGGAGGCAUUGCCUUACUUGCUAUACCUUAAACCUCAUCAAGAAAGUAAGCCCAGCGAAACCGCAAUCCCAAUCAAAUAAAAGAUCAGAUGGGCUGAUCCCUGAGAUCGAUCGCUGUUGAUUUUCUAGUUUUUUAGCUGACUCGGGACCUUCCAUAGAAAACCGAGUACGAGCAACGGUCGGGUCUGCUGCCCCUUCCUUCUCAGCGUACAGCUGCAGAUUGGAUAAAUGGUUUAUCUUCGAAUGUAUGCUACAAGAAAUGGGCUGAACCGAUCUACAGGGAAUGCAAUAGCGAAAAGAAUUCCACUCUAUCUCAGAUUUUUGUAUCCUUUUCAAGGGCCAACCCUGGGCCAAGGUGAGCGCAUCCGUAUGGGCCUAUUGCUCUUGACCUCUUUAGUUGUGCAGGCACAAAUAUGAACUGGUCUAAGUUUGUUCUUGACGAUCCCCACAAGCUUCUCUUAUCUACUUGAAUGCAAAUCAGAAAAGAGGAAGUCGCAAUGCAUUUUAUUUUUAGAAAGAAUCAAAGACACGUGGAUGGUAUCGAUCAAGAGACAUGGCUAAAGGAUGGAAGUGAAUUAGAAUCAGACGGUCGUCGAACGAAUUCCCAAUAAAUGGAAGAUCUACGUGCAACGAAUUUCAUAUAAAAAGUAAAGUAGGCGAUUUCACCGAGAGGCCUAUUGAACUAGCUCCCAUGCAUGGAUCUGCAUUGUGUGCUUUCGCCGGGGCGAGAGUGAAAAAGAAAUUUACCAAGAGUUCCGUAUGAAUUAGGUUUGCCUUUCCAAAGAAAUGAGAUAAGGAGCAGUAAGGCCUCGCAGAGCGUCAACACCGAGACAUUGUAGAGCAACGUCUUGCAACUAUGUACAAAGCCUCCAUUCCCCUGGGUGUCGUGUUUGAAAGCACAGUCUUUGUCAUAAACCGAUUUCCCUCCGCUCCAAAUGGCUCUACCAAGGAUCCCACAAAGUUCCCGAAACCAAGUUUCUCAGAAAAGGCCUGGUAUCCAUCUACUCACAAUAAUUUGAAUGUAGAACUGAAGAAGCACAAUUUCCUUCUUCGAGAGGAAUCCAACCGAAGAGAAGCGAGCAUCAUAAUAGCUUGAUAAAAAGAUAUUUAGUAUAAGAGGACGUUCGCGUCAAUUAUCACGCCUCUGACUGCUGAGGACGAGGUUCGGGUUAAUGAUAUUGUGAAAGGUGUCAUUAAACCGGGUCUGCCUCUGUUAGUUACGAGGUAUAUGCCAUGGAUCUCAUCUAUUCCCCUUAAACAAGGGAUAACGUGGGUUCCGACCUGGAAUCUGGACCCCCAAUUAGAGUGUGUUUAAAGAGAUUGGAGGAACUCUUCCUCGGUCUCCGUAUCCAAAGAUACUGGUAAUUAGAGCUUCAAGUGUUCUGUUCUACUCUCCGUUUUAUUCAUAGUAAGGGAGAGCAGUUCAGUCCACUUGCUCUUUGGCCGCAUCGGUUGAGGUUUUCUCUGUUCAGUUCAGUUAAAGAAGAGAUGGUAUCUUGCUUGUUUCAAUUAUCCGGGCUCGCCAUCAAUAGAUACUGGUUUCUCUUCCGCUUUGGCCCAAUUGACCCACUUAUCUUAUAAAGGGCGAAGCCACUAACAAAUACUUAUAGAGGGAUUGUACCAACCUUAGCUGGGGAGAUAAAGGCCCUGCUCAAUGUAAAAAAAGGAUCUGGAAAAGAAGAUAGGAAUGGGGCACCAAGGAAGGAUUGUAGGUAGGGAUGCCCUUAGAUCCGUUCUCAAUAGCUCGUGAUAAGGCAAGAAAGCGAGUAGAUACCCUGCCCUCGCAUUAAAGCAUCGAUCUAGUCCUCUAUUAGAUAUGAAUUUCCCGUUGGAAAUCGAGGUACAUACUCCAAAAAUCCCUGGUUUUUGCCUUCGGUUAGCAACUCGUCUAAGUUUAAGAUGGUAUUCCAUCUUCGUAAGGACAUAGAAAGGGGUUUCGGUAGUGACUGUCCUAUCAAUAGACCGAAUGGUCAUCAGUUGCCCUCACGGCCUAACGCCGUUUUUGAGCUCCAUCACAUGCUUAAGAAGGACUUGUCGCGGAGCCAAGGCCUAUUUAUGAGCCAGACCUAGAAGAUCACUGCUUUCGUGCUGGUCAUUCUAAUCACAAUGAGAAAUUCUCCCAAAGAGGGUUCUUAUUUCAUUUCAGUAAGUAGUCGAUUGAAUCGGUUUCUAACCUAAGGAAUGUGUUAUUAUAACCAAAUAUAUCAUCCAAGAGCCGAUCUCUUUUUCAUUAAGUAUCAUUAACAGACCGCUUGCUUACGAGCUUGGUAGCCGCCUUGGAGCCGAGGCAGACGGAGGAGGAACCUCUCGAACCUGGAAUCCACUUUCCACUUGUCCUCCAUAUGCUCGGGUCUGCUGUUUGACCAGUAUCUAAUGCUAUUUCUUACUUCGACCAGACGGGCACUUUCGCAUUACACAGUGAGAUCGCCUACUCCUCUCGAGGUUGGCAUUUUUGAGUUCAUAUUUCAUAGGUCACCAUAAAAAUUCCUACCUUUCAAAUUUGCAUAUUUUUAGGAACAUAUCGAACUUUCAUCCCGCAUUAUCUGUGCAAAAUUUUAUCAUUGCUUAACUACUUCCUCAAACCAUUCAAUGCGCUAUCUCCAUCCUCUCAUUCAUCUCUAUACCAGAACAAUUAAUUAGGCCCAGCCCUUCUAUCAUCGGCCUUGUUGAACUAAUUACUUUCGUCUUUGUGCCACCUCAAAGAAGACAUUUGAUCAUGGGCUUUUUUUUGUGAUGAGGCUAGUUUGAACUAUGCUUUUUCUCCUUUCUACACCCCUCUUGACACAAGUUUCGCACAUCCAGUUCUCUUAUUAGAAACUCCCUAUAGAUAUACUUCUUGCUGACUGAUUAUGGCUUCCCUGACUAGAGAAGGAAAUGUCGGGAGGAAAUAGAGAUGAUAGGACCACCUGAAUGCUGGAGAUGAGUGCUCGUCGUAUUCCCUCGAGGAAAGCGGAGGCCCUCGCGGAAAGAUCAAAGAAAAUGAAAAGCACAGCGGCCUCUACCUAGAGCAAAGAAGCUUUGCCAGUCUUAUCACCGGAUUCACCAUAAUCAGCUUUAAGGUCCUGACUCUCAAAUCGGAUAUCUCUUUCGUUCACAAGAAUUGCAUAUUAUGUAUGAUUGGUGAUUUGAAAUUCUUUCUAUUUACUAUUUUGAUGGAAUUCAUGAACGAGUAGAUCAAAGAAAAGAAAGCAAAGCAUUCACUCCUAAACUAAAGAACUAAUCUACUGAGCUAGCCUCCCGUUAUGCGCCAAUGCUUGAACAGGACCGUUGACCUUUACCAAGCCAGUUUCCUGUAGUUGACCAAUACAGUUCGACCGAUUGAGACAGCAGGGCGGAUGUGACCGAUGGAUUUGAAGAAGGAACUCAUUUUUUACUGAUUCAGACCGUUUACCAGAAGAGCGGUAUGGUUCAGAAGAGGUACUCAUAAUACAGAUAUCGUUUAACGAAUUGCCCGAUCGAUUACCAAUUCAGUAAGCCUACCUAUACCUCCUCAGGUUCCAGCCUACCUGCUCAACCCGCGGACCCAGUACAGCAGCCCUUGACCCCUGGUCCUGAUCCACUAACUCCAGCACCUUCUACUUCCACUGAUCCGACAGCAUCAGCCCCCAUUUCAUCAACUCAAUCCACUCAUCCUACGAUUACUCGCACACGGGAUAAUACUCGCAAGCCUCGCGCCUUUCCCAAUCACGUUGUCAACAUGGCUACCUUUCAUCCUUGGCCUCUUGAGUCCUCACCAACUGAGCCCACGUGUUUCUCUAUGGCCAAUAAAUGUUCCAUUUGGCGUUCAGUUAUUUGCAUAAAGUUAAUGCUUGCAGAAAAGUGUUGAUUAUAAAUAAGUAUAUGAACAAUUUACUAUACAAGCAAAUCUUUGNNNNNNNNNNNNNNNNNNNNNNNNNNNNNNNNNNNNNNNNNNNNNNNNNNNNNNNNNNNNNNNNNNNNNNNNNNNNNNNNNNNNNNNNNNNNNNNNNNNNNNNNNNNNNNNNNNNNNNNNNNNNNNNNNUUGUUGUCAUCGCAAGCAAGUAGGUAACGCAGAUUUCAAUUUGCAGUCAAUAUAAUAAAUGUACGAGGCGAAGAUAUAGGAGGUAUGAAACAAACAUAAUGUCAGUACAUGUCAAUCACACUCAAGGAUAGAUAAUUUAGCGUUCCAUCACAACAUAAACUAAAAACAAAUGAAGAAUCUCGCUAAUAAAUAAGUAAAAACGACGCUCGUCAAGCACAGUUUGCUGCGAUCGUGCCAGCGGCAUCACCGAUUGGUUGCGCGGAUGUGGUCACAACAGGCAGUAAAAACCUUAUUAUAGCAGUUAGAGUAGUGGUUUAAUACAUGUAUGUCCACAUUAUACAUCGAUCAAAAAUAAUUAGACAUUCGAGAUAUGUCUGCAAGAUGGCAUACCUUAUUUUGCAUUCUGUUCCGUCUAGAACAUAAGAUGAAACAUAUGGCAUGUUAAUAAAAAUGUGUGAAAAAAAAGUAACCAGUGGAAAAGCAUAACAAAGUAAGUAAGUUUAUGUGUGAAAAAACAUACAUACCGCAGAGGAUGUCCUUCCCUAUGAGACUCUUGCUUCCCUUUGAAAGAGGCAGACCCCUACUUCAAUUGUCAUCUGACGCCUCUACCCGCCCUUGGUGUUCGUAGAUCGGUUUUGCCAGUUAGGGUUUGUGUGGUGGGUUUCGAUGAUCUCGAGUAGCUCCUCACUUGGAUGAGGAGUGGGGAAAGAAGAUUGCGGGAGAGAUCGGUGAAGAAGUGGAACUAAAGGAUACUAUAACCAAAGCUUAAAAUGGGGGGGGGGAUGAGGCUGAUGUUGAGCCGGGUGAUGAAGCAACUUCACCGCAGCAAGAAGCCUAGUGAGCGGUUGACAUGGCGGAAGGUCGUUCUACCUUUCCCUGUGCCAACAAAGCAGGCAUACUUGAUUGACUCUUUGGGGCUCGUGAGAGACAUUCAUAUUACUGCGUUCUGUGAUCGUAGAUCGUCAGGAUUCAUCAUUGUAUAUCCGAGAUCUGAAAGUGUGGCAAAUGGAUUUGAAGGCAUGGAAAGAGGCCGCCCUCGUGCAAGACUUCUUUAUUCUCCCGAUUUCCCUCCUCCAGUUGGAUUGACACGAAAGUCCAGUGAUAACGUUGAAGUACUUUAAAGAGUCCCUUUCAGCCCCCGCUUUAUCAUAGGAAGAAGAAGAGUAAUCUAGUUUAGGGGUAAGUGCCCUUUUGUUGCCAAUAUCUAGAGUCCUGUUGUGUCGAUAGAGCUCGGAAAACUCCUCUUUUAGUGAUGGAUUCUAGUAGCCCUAUGCCUAGAUUGCACAAGAACUACUCCGCUUCUAUAUUGGAAAACACUGUGUUUGAGCUUCUGAAAAGAAAUGAAGCUGUUACCUGAUCCAAGCAGAUAAGAUGCUCACGGCCUGUCCUGAGCACUACGGAGAUAUUUCUUGAUCCACAUGAGAGUCAGCUCCCUACACCUACACCGGAUUAUGUCAAUGAGAGCUUGCCAAUAGAGAUACUUCUGACUUAGAGGCACCGGAGUUGGCCAACUCAAAUUGCAUUGACAGCGAACCCUUGGUAGAUGAUUCAGAGCAAGAUCAGAUUCUUGAUGAUUUUUCCCUUUGUUUGAUCGAGCGAUGCCGAAUCUUUAUAGCGCAUUUCCACCUAUCCAUGCUUUACGACUUGUCGCCAUGAAGCACAUGCCUGCGAAACCUUCUUAUUCUACAGAAUAAAUAAUAAAGUACUUAGAAUGAAUGGACUAAAGAUCCACUUUUCAAAAGGGACGGCUCCGCCUACAUGUGAAGAUCUUUCAAGCGAAAAUAAUGGGUAGCCAUGAGAA